CCUACGGGGUGCUGCAGUGGGGAAUAUUGGACAAUGGGCGAAAGCCUGAUCCAGCCAUGCCGCGUGUGUGAAGAAGGCCUUCGGGUUGUAAAGCACUUUCAGUGGGGAAGAAAGCCUUGGGGCUAAUACCCUCGAGGAAGGACAUCACCCACAGAAGAAGCACCGGCUAACUCCGUGCCAGCAGCCGCGGUAAUACGGAGGGUGCGAGCGUUAAUCGGAAUUACUGGGCGUAAAGCGCGCGUAGGCGGUCUGAUAAGCCGGUUGUGAAAGCCCCGGGCUCAACCUGGGAACGGCAUCCGGAACUGUCAGGCUAGAGUGCAGGAGAGGAAGGUAGAAUUCCCGGUGUAGCGGUGAAAUGCGUAGAGAUCGGGAGGAAUACCAGUGGCGAAGGCGGCCUUCUGGACUGACACUGACGCUGAGGUGCGAAAGCGUGGGUAGCAAACAGGAUUAGCUACCCGAGUAGUC
rnacentral:rRNA from 1 species